rnacentral:rRNA from 1 species
UACGGAGGAUCCGAGCGUUAUCCGGAUUUAUUGGGUUUAAAGGGUGCGCAGGCGGGGGAUUAAGUCGGCGGUGAAAUUUUGCAGCUCAACUGUAAAAGUGCCUUCGAAACUGGUUUCCUUGAGUGUAGAUGAAGUAGGCGGAAUUUGUGGUGUAGCGGUGAAAUGCAUAGAUAUCACGAGGAACUCCGAUUGCGCAGGCAGCUUACUAAACUACUACUGACGCUCAGGCACGAAGGCGUGGGGAUCAAACAGGAUUAGAUACCCGCGUAGU